GACGAACGCUGGCGGCGUGCUUAACACAUGCAAGUCGAACGAGAAUCUACUGAAAGAGUUUUCGGACAAUGGAUGUAGAGGAAAGUGGCGGACGGGUGAGUAACGCGUGAGGAACCUGCCUUGAAGAGGGGGACAACAGUUGGAAACGACUGCUAAUACCGCAUGACACAUUGAAGUCGCAUGGCUUUAAUGUCAAAGAUUUAUCGCUGAAAGAUGGCCUCGCGUCUGAUUAGCUAGUUGGUGAGGUAACGGCCCACCAAGGCGACGAUCAGUAGCCGGACUGAGAGGUUGAACGGCCACAUUGGGACUGAGAUACGGCCCAGACUCCUACGGGAGGCAGCAGUGGGGAAUAUUGGGCAAUGGACGCAAGUCUGACCCAGCAACGCCGCGUGAAGGAAGAAGGCUUUCGGGUUGUAAACUUCUUUGUCAGGGAAGAGCAGAAGACGGUACCUGACGAAUAAGCCACGGCUAACUACGUGCCAGCAGCCGC
rnacentral:rRNA from 1 species